rnacentral:lncRNA from 1 species
CUCCCACCACCACGUUCUCCCGUUCUGCUCGCAGAGCCGCUAUCUCCGCUCUCAUCUCCUGCAUCUGCCUCUGCAUCUCCUGCAGGACCUGCAACUGUAGCUGCUCAGCCAUUGUGUUCGUUUCUGGGUAAAUCACGAUUUCGGGCCCCACGGUGGGCGCCAAAUGUUUUGGUAUUUAGAGCCCGAGACCGAACCAGCUCCUUGACCCUGUCCCGAUCGCCCAACCCGGUCGUCUUCCAGAUGCCUUUAUGAAUCACCCGGGAUGUCCUGCAAUAAGAACACUCCGACGCCCAAGUCAGUGGAUCAGUUAACGGGAUCAACUUUUUGGAUUAGAUUCGAGAUUACUUUACCUGUCCUGCUGUUCCUAUUUAUAGACGAUGCAUNCAUAACUGACCAUUAAUUUCAUUGAUUCGCUAUGCCUUCCGUUACAUCUUCAUCAAAACCUUUUAAUGCCUUCUCGACCCCACAUCUACUUAAUCCAUACCGUCCGGUAUUUAGGCCACCAUUGCGUCUUGUGGCUUUGGCAACCCGGUCGGUUCUAGGCUGACUCUGCGUUCUUGAUCCGGUCGACCCAGCCGACCCUUCCCCACUACAAAAUCCAAUGAAGCACUUCAUUUGACGGAAAAGGUUAUAAAUUGGAACACUGAACAAGCU